GACGUAGGGCGCGAGCGUUGUCCGGAUUUAUUGGGCGUAAAGAGCUCGUAGGCGGCUUGUUGCGUCGACUGUGAAACCCGCAGCUUAACUGCGGGCCUGCAGUUGAUACGGGCAGGCUAGAGUCCGGAAGAGGAGUGUGGAAUUCCUGGUGUAGCGGUGAAAUGCGCAGAUAUCAGGAAGAACACCUAUGGCGAAGGCAGCACUCUGGGACGGUACUGACGCUGAGACGCGAAAGCGUGGGGAGCGAACAGG
rnacentral:rRNA from 1 species